rnacentral:rRNA from 1 species
CAGCCGCCGCGGUAAUACGGAGGGUGCAAGCGUUAAUCGGAAUUACUGGGCGUAAAGCGCACGCAGGCGGUCUGACAAGUCAGAUGUGAAAUCCCCGGGCUUAACCUGGGAACUGCAUUUGAAACUGUCAGGCUGGAGUCUUGUAGAGGGGGGUGGAAUUCCAGGUGUAGCGGUGAAAUGCGUAGAGAUCUGGAGGAAUACCGGUGGCGAAGGCGGCCCCCUGGACAAAGACUGACGCUCAGGUGCGAAAGCGUGGGGAGCAAACAGGAUUAGAUACCCGUGUAGUCCCUGUCUCUUAUAA